rnacentral:rRNA from 1 species
GGGUUGUGAGGUUAAGCGACUAAGCGUACACGGUGGAUGCCCUGGCAGUCAGAGGCGAUGAAGGACGUGCUAAUCUGCGAUAAGCGUCGGUAAGGUGAUAUGAACCGUUAUAACCGGCGAUUUCCGAAUGGGGAAACCCAGUGUGAUUCGUCACACUAUCAUUAACUGAAUCCAUAGGUUAAUGAGGCGAACCGGGGGAACUGAAACAUCUAAGUACCCCGAGGAAAAGAAAUCAACCGAGAUUCCCCCAGUAGCGGCGAGCGAACGGGGAGGAGCCCAGAGCCUGAAUCAGUGUGUGUGUUAGUGGAAGCGUCUGGAAAGGCGCGCGAUACAGGGUGACAGCCCCGUACACAAAAAUGCACAUACUGUGAGCUCGAUGAGUAGGGCGGGACACGUGGUAUCCUGUCUGAAUAUGGGGGGACCAUCCUCCAAGGCUAAAUACUCCUGACUGACCGAUAGUGAACCAGUACCGUGAGGGAAAGGCGAAAAGAACCCCGGCGAGGGGAGUGAAAAAGAACCUGAAACCGUGUACGUACAAGCAGUGGGAGCCUCUUAAUGGGGUGACUGCGUACCUUUUGUAUAAUGGGUCAGCGACUUAUAUUCUGUAGCAAGGUUAACCGAAUAGGGGAGCCGAAGGGAAACCGAGUCUUAACUGGGCGUUAAGUUGCAGGGUAUAGACCCGAAACCCGGUGAUCUAGCCAUGGGCAGGUUGAAGGUUGGGUAACACUAACUGGAGGACCGAACCGACUAAUGUUGAAAAAUUAGCGGAUGACUUGUGGCUGGGGGUGAAAGGCCAAUCAAACCGGGAGAUAGCUGGUUCUCCCCGAAAGCUAUUUAGGUAGCGCCUCGUGAAUUCAUCUCCGGGGGUAGAGCACUGUUUCGGCAAGGGGGUCAUCCCGACUUACCAACCCGAUGCAAACUGCGAAUACCGGAGAAUGUUAUCACGGGAGACACACGGCGGGUGCUAACGUCCGUCGUGAAGAGGGAAACAACCCAGACCGCCAGCUAAGGUCCCAAAGUCAUGGUUAAGUGGGAAACGAUGUGGGAAGGCCCAGACAGCCAGGAUGUUGGCUUAGAAGCAGCCAUCAUUUAAAGAAAGCGUAAUAGCUCACUGGUCGAGUCGGCCUGCGCGGAAGAUGUAACGGGGCUAAACCAUGCACCGAAGCUGCGGCAGCGACGCUUAUGCGUUGUUGGGUAGGGGAGCGUUCUGUAAGCCUGCGAAGGUGUGCUGUGAGGCAUGCUGGAGGUAUCAGAAGUGCGAAUGCUGACAUAAGUAACGAUAAAGCGGGUGAAAAGCCCGCUCGCCGGAAGACCAAGGGUUCCUGUCCAACGUUAAUCGGGGCAGGGUGAGUCGACCCCUAAGGCGAGGCCGAAAGGCGUAGUCGAUGGGAAACAGGUUAAUAUUCCUGUACUUGGUGUUACUGCGAAGGGGGGACGGAGAAGGCUAUGUUGGCCGGGCGACGGUUGUCCCGGUUUAAGCGUGUAGGCUGGUUUUCCAGGCAAAUCCGGAAAAUCAAGGCUGAGGCGUGAUGACGAGGCACUACGGUGCUGAAGCAACAAAUGCCCUGCUUCCAGGAAAAGCCUCUAAGCAUCAGGUAACAUCAAAUCGUACCCCAAACCGACACAGGUGGUCAGGUAGAGAAUACCAAGGCGCUUGAGAGAACUCGGGUGAAGGAACUAGGCAAAAUGGUGCCGUAACUUCGGGAGAAGGCACGCUGAUAUGUAGGUGAAGCGACUUGCUCGUGGAGCUGAAAUCAGUCGAAGAUACCAGCUGGCUGCAACUGUUUAUUAAAAACACAGCACUGUGCAAACACGAAAGUGGACGUAUACGGUGUGACGCCUGCCCGGUGCCGGAAGGUUAAUUGAUGGGGUUAGCGGUAACGCGAAGCUCUUGAUCGAAGCCCCGGUAAACGGCGGCCGUAACUAUAACGGUCCUAAGGUAGCGAAAUUCCUUGUCGGGUAAGUUCCGACCUGCACGAAUGGCGUAAUGAUGGCCAGGCUGUCUCCACCCGAGACUCAGUGAAAUUGAACUCGCUGUGAAGAUGCAGUGUACCCGCGGCAAGACGGAAAGACCCCGUGAACCUUUACUAUAGCUUGACACUGAACAUUGAGCCUUGAUGUGUAGGAUAGGUGGGAGGCUUUGAAGUGUGGACGCCAGUCUGCAUGGAGCCGACCUUGAAAUACCACCCUUUAAUGUUUGAUGUUCUAACGUUGGCCCCUAAUCGGGGUUGCGGACAGUGUCUGGUGGGUAGUUUGACUGGGGCGGUCUCCUCCUAAAGAGUAACGGAGGAGCACGAAGGUUGGCUAAUCCUGGUCGGACAUCAGGAGGUUAGUGCAAUGGCAUAAGCCAGCUUGACUGCGAGCGUGACGGCGCGAGCAGGUGCGAAAGCAGGUCAUAGUGAUCCGGUGGUUCUGAAUGGAAGGGCCAUCGCUCAACGGAUAAAAGGUACUCCGGGGAUAACAGGCUGAUACCGCCCAAGAGUUCAUAUCGACGGCGGUGUUUGGCACCUCGAUGUCGGCUCAUCACAUCCUGGGGCUGAAGUAGGUCCCAAGGGUAUGGCUGUUCGCCAUUUAAAGUGGUACGCGAGCUGGGUUUAGAACGUCGUGAGACAGUUCGGUCCCUAUCUGCCGUGGGCGCUGGAGAACUGAGGGGGGCUGCUCCUAGUACGAGAGGACCGGAGUGGACGCAUCACUGGUGUUCGGGUUGUCAUGCCAAUGGCACUGCCCGGUAGCUAAAUGCGGAAGAGAUAAGUGCUGAAAGCAUCUAAGCACGAAACUUGCCCCGAGAUGAGUUCUCCCUGACUCCUUGAGAGUCCUGAAGGAACGUUGAAGACGACGACGUUGAUAGGCCGGGUGUGUAAGCGCAGCGAUGCGUUGAGCUAACCGGUACUAAUGAACCGUGAGGCUUAACCUUACAACGCCGAAG